rnacentral:rRNA from 1 species
CCUACGGGUGGCAGCAGUGAGGAAUAUUGGUCAAUGGGCGGAAGCCUGAACCAGCCAAGUCGCGUGAGGGAUUAAGGUCCUAUGGGUUGUAAACCUCUUUUGUCGGGGAGCAAGGCCCGGGACGUGUCCCGGCCAGGAGAGUACCCGGAGAAAAAGCAUCGGCUAACUCCGUGCCAGCAGCCGCGGUAAUACGGAGGAUGCGAGCGUUAUCCGGAUUUAUUGGGUUUAAAGGGUGCGUAGGCGGGCGUUUAAGUCAGCGGUAAAAAGUCGGGGCUCAACCCCGUCCGGCCGUUGAAACUGGGGGCCUUGAGUGAGCGAGAAGAAUGCGGAAUGCGUGGUGUAGCGGUGAAAUGCAUAGAUAUCACGCAGAACCCCGAUUGCGAAGGCAGCAUUCCGGCGCCCUACUGACGCUGAGGCACGAAAGUGCGGGGAUCGAACAGGAUUAGAUACCCUAGUAGUC